rnacentral:rRNA from 1 species
UCGAGAAUCUUCCACAAUGGGCGAAAGCCUGAUGGAGCGACGUCGCGUGAUGGACGAAGUGCUUCGGCACGUAAACAUCUUUUAUGUGGGAUGAAAUUAUUGACAGUACCACAUGAAUAAGGGGCUCCUAACUCUGUGCCAGCAGGAGCGGUAAUACAGAGGCCCCAAGCGUUAUCCGGAAUCACUGGGCGUAAAGGGUGUCGAGGCGGUUGUAUUAGUCGUUCGUAAAAUCUACGAGCUUAACUUGUAGGCGGCGAACGAAACGGUACGACUUGAGGUUUGGAGAGGUGCGUGGAACUCACGGUGUAGGGGUGAAAUCCGUUGAUAUCGUGGGGAACACCAAAGGCGAAGGCAGCGCACUGGCCAAAAUCUGACGCUCACACACGAAAGCUAGGGUAGCGAAGAGGAUUAGAUACCCAUGUAGUCCCUGAGCGGGCUGGCAAGGCGCAU